UUUAGACAUUUUUUAUUUUAUGUGUUUAAAAGCGUAUGUUGUAUAACAGUAUUUAAACACGUAUUUGUUUAUCUGUAACGUUUAAUCUAUCGUCAACGUAGAGAGCGUAGACAUUUUUCUUCAGCAAGUGAAAAUGGUAUGCCUUCCGUCUGAACAGUAUUUCCUCCUUGGUUUUCAUUUGGUGCUUGUAUUUGGAAAGGAUUGUGGUCCAGCAGAAUACAAAACUAGUGAUGGGCAGUGCUGCCCAAUGUGUAAUAAAGGCUUGGUGGUCCGCAGAGAUUGUACAUUGGAUUCCAGCACAUCUUGCAUGCCCUGUAUCAGAGGGACCUUCAUGAACGAGGCCAAUGGUCUAACCAAGUGCUUUCCCUGCAGUCCCUGUGACCCAGGACAGGGCCUGUUCACUCAGACAGAGUGCAAACCAACAAGUAACACAGUCUGCGACGUUCUAGAUGGAUUCUACUGUAGAAGCUACUCAUCCAACUCUGAGUGUAGCUUUGCAGUAGAACAUACACACUGUUCACCGGGACAGAGUACUAAAUCACCUGGAACAAAGACAACAGAUACCAUGUGUGAGGAGUGUCAACAUGGCUUUUACUCACAACAUGGUGUCAACUGCACUGCUUGGACUGGUUGUGCAGCAAUGGGACGCAUGAAGACUGAAGAUGGAAAUUCUAGACAAGAUGUUAUUUGUAACAAAGUGCCAUCAAGGAGUCAUACCACUCUAAUAGCUUCAAUAAUAUUGUUAUUAUUAGGCCUAGAGUAGCUGCACUGUUUUGUUUGCAUUUAAAAAAUAUAUAUUUUUUAUCUAAAUCCUAGUCAUUUGAAGUUAAUAAGUCCUCAUACAACAUUGUUAUGCAAGCAAAAGUCUUUAUUGAAAAAUAAUUUCUAGUGAGUGAAAAAUUCUGUUAAUUUUAUGGCUAAAUAAUCCAAUGUUGUUCUUGUCAUUUAGUCAGUUUUAGUUGCUGUAGCGAUCCUAACUUUUGUAAUACAUCAUAGGUUCCUGUGCAAGAAACGGGACCUGUACAAGUCACUAGUAACUCCCUAGUGGAAACAGCAGAGAAUGUUGCUGGUAAUGUUGUAACUGGUGUAAGACUAAACUAGGAUGAAAUGCCAUGAAUGCAUGCAAGAUGCAUUUAACUAAACUUUUCUAAAUUCACUCUUUGAAACACCCAAACUGUUUUGAUGACUGUUUGACUAACAAUUAAAUUAUUGAUUCUCAUAAAUGAAUUUACACUGUCAAUCCAUGAGAUGGCGUACAAGUGUAACAGUUACAGCAACGCUCAAGAACUUCUUUGUUCUAGUUCUCAGUCACAGAACCCUGGAGACGAAAUAGAAUGGGCUAAUCAGAACCUAAUAGCCCAGUGAUCAGAAGAGGUGCAGGUCGGUCUGUGUUUGGUUGUAACAUUCUGAUUAACGAUUACAAACACAAAUCUAUUUAAAACCCCACAUUUUAUAUUAUCUUCAAAAAGAAAAGUUUAUUACAAAAAAAUGUCACCAUGGAUUAAAUUAGUUAAUUUCCUGAAUUUGUAGCAGUAAUUUCAUAAGGCCUAUCAUGGCACUUAAAAUGUAAAUGAAUGCCAUAUUUUACUUAGGUAAAUGUCCUAAAUCAAUGGGCAUUGGUGUAAAGUACUUAAGUAAAAAUACUAUCUUACAGAGUAGCUAUAACUAACUAGCCAGCUAGCUUUGUAGCCAUGGAUUGUGCACCUUCCAUUGUUUAGCCAAGUAGCUAUCUGGUUGAUGUUUUCCUUUUGUUAACAGAGCAGAUGAAAGCAACAUUCACCUCCACAAAUGCUGUUUAAAUCGAUAUCCAUACUGAAUGAAGCAGUUAAGGGACCUUAUGAGCAUCCUUUACUUUUUCACUUAAUUUAAGGGGGAAAUUCACCUUAAAAUGUUUUGUGCAACUGACUUAAAGUUAAGGAAACUUCAAGGCAAAAGGGGGAAAUUAACUUAAGGUGUUUUAUGCACCUAGGACAUGUA